CUCAGAAAACUACUUUAAUUGUUUUUAAAUAUAUUUUUAAAUAUAUAAAUAUACAAUUAAAUUUGAAAUUUGAAUCACUACAUAAUUUGAUUUGUCUCUAUUCUUCCCAAUUUCCAUGUCCAUAAAUAAUGAUACGUAGUGGACGAUAUAAUUCAAUAUUUUUAACCCAUUUAGAGACAAACACAAUCAUUCAUAUACGAUAUAUAUAGUUAAAUUGUAACAAGUUCGUAUCAUCUAUUUAUACUGUUAUUUUUUGUCUGUCAUCAAUAAGAUAAGAUAAGAUAUAUACAAACAAAAUUCUCUAUUUAAAUACAAUAAUAAUACGAACGAUUACUGGGAUGCCAAUCUCUCGUAGAAGACUCAUCCAAUAUGUCGGCAGAAAAUUCCAUCGGAGAUCAUGCACCUAACUUCACACACGAGGACAAUCGCGUACAGCAAUCACGCAUGCGCUGGCGGACUAAGAACGACAAAUUCUCUGGCAGUAGGCGGAUCGGUCGUUACGUCGAUAGUCUCGGUGCAUCGUAUUCUCGCAGAUGUGCAUCCUGUGCACGCACCAUUCUUUCUCUCUCUUUUUUAUACACACUUUCUAUACCUCUCUUUUGCACUCUAUAUACCCGCCUCCGUGUAAAUCGCGAAUUCCAUCGAGGAUCAACUAUCGGUCCACACUCGACGCCGGCCAUCUUCUUAUUGUUUCUUGUUUGCGAUUUCUACGUACAUAUGUGGCACACCUUCUAGGUAGGACGCCCGUUCGACAACACGAUUCCCGCGAUUCUGUGCGACUGGAACGCUGGAAUGAAAGGAAUUGGAAGAGGGAACGAAGGAAUCUUUUUUAAUGUGAUGAAGUCGUGGGCAAGUGGUCACAUAGUUACACUUGUAUGUGCACGCGUAGAAAAAGGGUACACCUACUCGAAUUUCUCCAUGGAAAACUUCAUUUUCCUCCUUCGUCGGUCAUCGUUCUGAUUUUGUGUGAUUUGCAUUUAUCUUGCCUUUUUUAUAAAUGGGGUUAUGUACGAGUAUAUAUUCUGUAUACGGUCGUGUACAGCCGUGAUUAUGAGAGAUGUGGUGUACGGGUCUAUACGGUGCAAAGAGAGAGGAAAAGAGAGCUUCGGGGUACGAACGACACGUGAACGGUGACCUUUGGCCUCGGCGCAGAUCCUGCAGAGAUAUCGGUUUCGUUUUCACCGUGACGCAGUGGUACGCGCGCACACAUCGCAGUACACGCCUUUUGCCUUUUGCAGGAGACUAAUUGCGCGUUCGAUGUAUUCCUAAAAUCCAAUGGAAGACGACCGAUUGCAAUUUCGUACGAACGCUAUGCAAUUUGGUACUACCACAUACUUCCAAAUCGGAAUUAAAGGCUCGUAUAUGUUGCAUCAUUAUACACAAAGUAUCCAAAAACAUAUCGACAUAUUCCAGGGUCUAAUUCAGCAUAUUGAAGUAAAAACACAUUGUGUCAGAGAGAAGAGGGGCUCAUAACAUAGUGAAUACUAUGAAGAACAAUUUACUUCCUGAUUUUUCAAUAAAGAUCAACUAGCGCUACAAAAUAACAGUAGACGAGCCACUUGUAUAUUUGUCAGGUGUGUUAAUUCUAUAAAACAAAGAGUAGAAAAUAUUGAUGAAAUCACACAACAUAAGCACGAACCAAGUGUUUUAAACUAAAAUUACACAAAGUGGAGUACACUCAUAUCUUUAUUUAUUCGAUAAAUACACUUAAUGUAUCGUUGUCUAUUAAACAAUACAUAUAAUCCGUAUAUGCUAGCAACAUGAAAAACACGAAAGAGUUUGAAGAUUUAAAAAACGUCUUCUUUCUUUCAAGAUAUACAUUCACAAUUUACCAAAAUAGAUAAUUGAAAAAAAUAACUAGACAGUUCUUCAAACUUCGUGCGGAUUCCAUCACUGACGGAGUUGUUAGCGAUCCUUCGUAGAUUGAAGCGUAACAACACUGGCCAAUGCUGACUAAUUGGACGUUAUUACGAUCGUUAAUCGUUUUUCUUUCGAUUUCGAGGGAUUUCAUCGUAUCACGAAGCUUACUCGCGCCUGCUAUACGUUCGCACGACUGCGGCUACGUUUAAUUCAUACCGCACAUAAAUAACGAACAAAGGCCGUUCCGCGAGAUUGAAGUGGUAAUUGGUGAUUUAUUUUCGUUAUAAAUUUUCCCCAUUCUCUAUCCGCGUGGAAUGCGGUGGAAAGGGAACAGGGGAAUUCAUCUAAUUACGCUUAACGUCCCAUGAGGAGAAGGAUACGAUCUCAGCGUGAUAGGAUUAUAAUCGUCGAAGAAGUACCGAAAGUGCAUUUAAUACACGCGUAAUUACGAGUUACGAAUGCCAGAUGGCAUGACAGCGCGUACAUAUUUCUGAGUAAUAAAGCCGUAGAUCGGUAAUAGUCCGCGAGGGUUUGUAGCAGAUUACACGAGGUAGAUUUUAAGAGCCCGACAUUCUCACGAACUGUUAUCUUUCGACGAGUAACCAUGUCGGAGAACAAUGACUAGGAAUGCUGAGCCAAGUGACACGAUUAUAUUCAACGAAACUCGACGUUCUUAUGAUAAAUGAACGGUGCAAUAGAUACGAUAUAUUCAUUUAAAUCUACAAUUUAUUUAUAACUUAUUAUAUCAUACAGGAUGUCCAAAAAGGUGUCCCGAAAGUACCAAACUUAUACUACGUGUUAAUGAAAUCACGUAGGUAAAAAAAGUCCAGAUGAAGUUGUGUCGAAAAAUGGUUUAUCGAGAAAUUAUAUGCGUUCAAAGAUUUCCAAGGAAGUUGUUCUGGUUAUACAGAACCACAGACGGAAGCAAGUAAUUUUCAUCGACAGUUAUUGUUUACACGAUCCGACCAGAUCUAACUUCUCUGAGCUUUUAUUUAUGGGGUCACGCGAGACAGUUGGUUUAUGAAGAUGUAGUAGAAAUAGAAGAGCGGCUCUAGAAAUCUAUUCAAAAUGCAUUUACUGCUAUUUCUACGAGAGUAGGAAUAUUUCGAAAGAAUAUUUGACGAAUGAGAGUCUGCAUUUUUACAGAAGGAAGAAAUUUCGAACAUUUACUGUAACUGCCAAACGAUGAAUAACAAUUUUCGAAAGUUUAGAUAACUCUUCGAUAAAUCAUUUUUUGAUGCGUCCAAUCUUAUGAGUUUACAUGAACUCUUUUUACUCAUGUGAUCUCAUUAGAGCGUAGGAUAUGUUGGUCUCGAUAUUUUCGGACAUCCUGCAUAUACGAUAUAGAUAUGUGCAUAUCGCAUAUGUAUUCAACAAAUGAUACAACCAAACAAGAUUUCCAGAUAAAAUGAAAACCUAAUUGAAAGCUUAAGGGGGUAUUCUGGUCUAGAAAUUUGAAAAAAUCACGAAUCAUCACAUUUGAAAAAUUCAAGAAUAUGCCCUUAAAAGGAUUUUUCAAAAUUUCAAUUAUUUUAUGAGUUACAGCCACUUUUGUGACGCAGCAUCUGCUUCGGUCCGACCGGAACAAAUGAACAAUAGACGGUAGACGUUGUCCGAGUAAACAUGUCUCAAAACUUUAAACGCGUUUUUCUCGAAACUACUUUUUUCGAGUUGGCGUACACGAUAUCUCAAGUUUUAAUGAACCGAUUUAUUUUAAAUUUGGUCUGAAUAUUCCUUAUAUACUCCUCUAUCGUCCGGACCACGCUCAGUUCAAAAUCUUUAAUAUUACUAUUUUUUAAACGUUCGGAAUUGUCAAAAAAACGUGCGAAAUAAGAAAUUUUUUUUCAAACGGCCGUCAUUUUGUGAAAAAAUGUUGUAUUGACUUUUCCAAGAUUCAGACGAUAGCGGCAUCCAUACUAAUUAAGAAUCUGUUCACUUUUUUUGUUUCAAAUGACCAGAAGGGUUGAUAACAUGCACGCCACGACACCCCAUUUUUUUUGGCAGCAUCCACUUUGCCAGCUCAUAACUUUUUAAAUAUUGAGUUUUUUCCAGUAAAUUGUUUACGUAAUCUUGAAAUAUCAAUAAACAAAUGCUAAAAAGAAGGAUAGCAAAAAUAUUUUUUGUUUCGCUUGUACAGAGCUUCAAAAAUCGCCCGAAAUUCAUGGCUCUAGACCAGAAUACCCCCUUAAAAAAAGAUUAUUUAUAUAUACCAAGCAAUAAAACAAAUAUUGUUUUCGUAAUUUUCGUUUUGACGUUCUUCUAAGACUCUAACAAUUCCAGCAGAAAGCUCGAAACAUUUUAUUGCACUUCUCUGGUACAGUAUGAUAUUUAACACAAAUAUUAUCAGCAAGGCCUUACAAUUCAAAAGCUACAAAUUACUAAUGCUAAUAAGUUCUUCGUCACAAUGCUUAUACUUUAACUACGUAACUCCAAUAACGAAACAAACCGUAAAAAAUAAAUUUCACAAAUUACCACCCAUCCUACUAUUAUAUUAUCUCAUUCAAGAAUUACAAAAGUUUCUAAAAUUCUAGAAACAAUUUCCACGACAAAAGUCCCUUAACACGUCGCCGUUCAAAUUCGCCAAUAUAUUUAGCCAAUAAAUUAUCACGCAAAAGGUAAAGAAGAAGUAAAGAACAUACGAUCAAUCACUGCUUCGAUACGCUAUGUGCGGAUAACAUACCACGUCUAACGAGCUGAUUUCUCGCUUCAAAAUCGAUAUAGCAGUCGGUGAGGUAAUCCCGCGAAACCUUUUGUGUUCAAUUAAACCUGCUUGCAAUUUGACUUGGACGGUUCACCGUGGCGGUGCGAGGUGAAGCGAGGUUGGAGGCGAGCACGAGGCACUGUAUGAACAGCAGGUGCUUCGGAGAUUCACGGAGCGUUCGAGGAGCUGUGGUGGGGAUAUUGUGUGGUUGGAGCGGGGGAAGAAUUGCCGGAAGUGCAAGUGGCGUGUUAUCGCGGAGGGUCAAAGAUCGCGCAGCGGUGCUGACCCAGUGCUUCGAGGGCUGUAAACGCUGUAAACGCUCGACCGAUGGUGGUACGGAUCAUCGCGCGAACCGAAGCAACGGUAAUUUUACGGACGAUCACGAGCAUAAAUUAAUAUCGGCCGGUUAUCUGAUCGUUACCGCGAGCCCAGUCACGUAUGAAUUUAACCCCUCUGAUCAGAUUUGAUCGAUAACUGUUACGAUAAGUAUGAAUAUAAAUUGCGAACCGACGGGCCUAGCUAUCCGUUUUAUUAUAAUAGGGAUACACAAGCACAAAAACGGCUAGAAAGUCUCAUUACGCUUAACGGUGUUCGUAAUGUCUUCUCGAGAUAUGUAGGUGGUUUUGGGUUCCAGAAUACAACGGAGACCCUCUUUGGCAGUUACUUGUUGGAUUUAUGUUGCGUUUGGUCGUACACAUUCUAUUGUACUUGUGAAUUUAAAAGGUUGCAAAAAUGCAUCUUCUUGAAAUACAUAUGUUUGAGUUGAACGUAACGAGUUUAAGUAUUAUUCUUUGGAUCGAAGCAGUAGAUGAAAGAAGAAGAUCUGCACAAAGAGAAUUCUAUCGUAUAAAUUCUACUCGGAAUAUUUUUAUUAAUUUACAUGAGAUAUCGUUUGACUCGAGUCGAAAGUUUCGAACCAUAAGUUGCAGGUUACAGACUUCUCUUUUAUAAGUUUACAAUAUUUCCACAAUAAUUUUAUGGUAAAUAAGAUCGAGACAAUCGGUGAAUUUGUAAGUUGUAAAAUUUGCUGAUAAAAUUUGACUUCUUUUAUUAUCAAAAUUGUUUCGAUCGUGGAAAGGAUAGUACCGUAAUCAGAAUCGAUUCUUUCCUGUGUAGAAUAAGAAACCAAAAAUCGUAAAAUUAAGAAAAUAAAAUUCAAUUUAUACUCCUAUAAAGUUGUCCCACUAAAGUAACUGAUCGGAAUGCAACAGAUCGCAGUAAGACGUUGUAUCGCGACAAUGGCGAUAAUUUUCUGCAACUUUUACAGCAAUAUCUACUGGUUUAAUCAAGAGACAUACCGCGCGCGAGAAUUUCAAAGUCACCCUUUCGAAUGCGUUCCAGCUAUUUUAUACGAUUUUACGACUUUUUCGCGGCACGAUUGUACACAUAUUCAAACAAACCUGAACGUACGCGCCGAGACUCGCUAUCUUCAGUUACAACAGCGAAAAGCGUCGAGCGCAAUCGUAAACGAUACUCUUGCGCCGCGUCAAAUCGUCGACAUCGUCGAAAUCGCUCCGUUACCGACCAUAGCUGCCGUCAUUUUUCUAACAUUUAACACCAAUAAAGAUUUGUUUUCUGUCGCAUAAUGCGAUUAUACGAUUAGUAAAUUAUACCUGGCUUCUUCUCCAUUUGUUGAAACUCCUAUUUUUCUAUUCAGAUGUUGGAAAAGUUUGUAGCGUUUAGUUGUUCCAUCGUAUUCGCUAUACCAUUAUUCGAUAUUAGAAAGAAUUAUUUCUCACGUAUUUGUGCAAAAUAUUACUUGACAGGUAUAAAUUAGUUGGGCUUUUAGUUGGACAUGAAAAGCAUCAAUCAAAGAGAAAAAAUUUGGCAUCGAUCGAUAGGAAGAGUUUUCGGAUCUCGAACGAGAUACGUAUCGGCGAUUGAAAAAUAAAAAUUCGCACGAUUAAACGGCGUCCUUGCGGUCUUGAGUUGGCGAAGCCUGGCACGCGAGAAAUAGCGCACGAACGAAUUCCUGCACGCACUGUAUCCUGGCUGCCUAAUGAAGAUAAUCGACGACGUACUGUGGAAAGAGAUUCUACAUUGAUUUACCAUUGAGUCUACAGUUUUCAUAAAAUGGUAGCGAGAGAUGGAAAACCAGUCGAUAUUUUUGUUGUUUGGAUCUAAAGGAACGUGCUUGAAAAACAGCAGCUAUUAGAUAUUUAUCCAUCGUAUGAAUGUUCUUUAUUGAAACGCAACAAUUUUUUGGAUCAAAGUCAGGAUAUAAUUUCCAUUAGAGACGACUUCCAUCCUUGGAAAGUCUUAAAUUGUAACAUGUCGAAGUACUGAUUAAAAUUCGGUUUCGGUAAAAAUAUACGGUUUCCAUUUUUAUAUAGGAAAACCCUAGACCACAUCUCAGGAAAAAUAUAUGUAUAUCGAUGAAACGUUCGGUCGGUAACCCAAUUUAUUUCAGAUAAAUCAUCGCCGAAAUAGCUAUUAUGUAACUAUAAAUCUUAGCUCGAUUCGCGCGCUUUCGUUACGAUAAAUACAAUGCCCUCGCGAUAAAUCGUAACGAGAGCAUGGACAGCGGUCGACCGGUGAUAAAUUGACUGGUAACGCAACUUCGAAAUGUGAUCCGAAUGAAAAGCCACCGGGGCGCAUAGGGACCGGAUCACCGGUAUUCGUACGAUCGAGACUCGAUACUUUUACGAGAGUGGUCCAGCUGUCUGUUUCGCGAAACGGGUUCUUCCAAUAAAAUUCUGUAAAUUGCAUCGAGCUUUUUUCUCUUAACCUAUCGGGCUUAAAUCUUGCUGAUACAACGGAACGAACUCGUUUACAAAUUCCUGGAGUAGAAUAAUCGAGAAGAAUGAUACACAUACAUUGGGUCUUUGAUUUUCAUAGAAUACGCUGUGUCUUUUUUUUAUGUAGAUGAAAAUUUAAAAUGAAAAUGUAGUAGAAAAAGUAAUAUAGUAUGGAAAUACUAAUUUCACGUUUUUAAACAAAAAAGACAGGAAUUAAAGUUCACAAGAACCUAAAUAGAGAAAAGGAGUUCUAACGUUUAAAGAAAAUAUUUGGCAUAAAAAGAAACGAGAAAUCACACGUAUGAACGCUUGUGUCUUAUUUUCCAUCAGUUAAAAAUGAUCCAAAGAACGCACAGGGGUUAAUUUAAUCAAAGUUAUUAUCUUCGAUAUUUGUGUAAACACUUGUGAAUUAUGUACAGCUUAAUACGUAACAUCGCUACGAGUUAACCAAAAACGAUGUUAUUAGCGAGGCCGAAUAAUAAAUUGUUCGCAUAGCGAUAUAUGACAAGUGCUAUAAAUAUCAUGGAAUAUAUUUUCUGAUCUGAAUAUAUUCUCAGUAAAACCAAGACGGUGUAUAAAAAGUGACGUGUAAACGAAGAGAUUAUUUAUGUACUGAGCACAAAAAGCAUCGUGUAAAUCGAUGGACAAGUGUGUCUGUAAUUUAUUGUGUAUUCGCCCUUAUACGAGGUACCAUCGAUGAUAUCGCUAAUCCUGUUCUCAUAAUUCGUCUCAUUUACACGGCCUUCUUAUCCCUUUCCUUUACCCUUCUACGUUCAGCUCACGCCAGCAUCAACCAGCCGAUUCUAUCCUUCUCUCUUACACGGUGGUUCUUCGAACGAGCACGGUAAAGUGAUGCUCGCGCGCGACCUCCACGUUCUUCGUUCGAACGAUACCGGUCCAUUGGAUACUCGCCACUUCCUCGUUUCAGCUGAUCGUAGUGUACCUUAAGACCCCUUAGCACGCAACCAAGGAUGCCGAUCUAAGCGGAUCAGCCAGAGAACAGGGUGGCCAAUAGAAGGGAAAAAAUUACCGACAGAUAGGACGAAGUUAUACGGCGAAGAAACUAAAGAUAAAGUUGAGGGAAAAUGACGGUACUUGGUAGAGUGGUUCGGUAGUUUUAUACAAAGUUUUGCAUGAAUGGUGGUGUAAUUAUAUUACAGGAUGAUUCUACGCGGAAAAAUUAAUCGAAAGUGUAGAAGAUUUUUUCACACGACGCAUCGUUUACGGGGAAAUUAAAUUUGAAAUUUGUCGAGAACGCGUGCACAUAGAUUAGUUCUUGAUUAAACUUGGUCAGAUAAAAGAAUAUUUGUAAUUAAUAUGUUUACUAAUAUUUAUAAUUUUAGUGUACUAUUAUCGUAGUAACAUCGUCUAAUUAAUUAAUUCUGUAAGGGAAUAACAAGUCUUGUUUUUAGCCAUCAAUUUGCCAUUAAUUUAUUUAUUAUUACAUACAUUUUAGUAACAUUUAUGAGUACAUAAAUGCCACUAAAACCUCUAUUUGUCUCAACUAUAUGUCAAAUUUCCUCUGAAACAUAUACGACGUAAACAACGCAGCUGUAGGUAAUAUCCAAGUAUAGAUGAUUACUCAUAAAUAUCCAGACACUUUAGCCGAUUUGUAGCAAUAGUAAUUGCUUGGUUACGUCAUAUGUUUUAGAGGAAAUUUUAUACAUACUUGCGAUAAAUAAAGGUUUAGGUAUUGCAAAAAACUAUAGACACAUGCGUGCUUUGUAAUUUUGAGAAUUAUGGGAAAUGCUACAAGAUUGUGCGAUGUUCGAUUUUAUGAAGCGAUCCAGCGAAAUGAUAAGUGUGAAGAAGGCAUAAGGAAGUACUUCUGAACUGAAUGAGACGAUAAGGUUGAUCGACAACGUGGAAGACCGGAGAUCGAAUAAACGGUGGCCAUUUGUAUUCCUCACUUUCUUGUUACUUCGCUACAAGAUUAUUACUCGCAGAAACUCCAAUCUUAAUUUCAGUAGUAGUGCUAAGUAUAAAUUGAAACAUUUGUUAUGUAAAGUAUUAGAUCGGUGAUUAAUAGCUCGGUGAUCAAUAACAAAAAUACUUUUCCUAUGGAAGAAUUGCUACGCUAAAUCGAACACUACGUAAACUAGCAUUUAGUGAAUAAUUAGUAUGAUUUAUAAAUAUUUGUCUAUCAAGAUAAUGGUAUAUUCUUUGGAGAAGGUUUCAGUUAUCAUUGAACCGUGGAUUCGUUUUAUUUCUUAAAACUUAUAAGAAAUAAUUUACUUCUAUUGUUUUAUAUAUUUUUCUAUAUUGUAUGAAUUCUAUGAAUUUUUACAUUGUUUAAUUUUUGCAUAGAUUUAUACAAAUCUGCAAUCUAGUUAUCACUGAACGUGAAUUUCUCGAACUUUAUUUACAGCUUCUCUCGACCGUUUUCAAAUUCAGCUCUAUCGUGAAUAAAACGAAAUUUAUAGCAGAACCAAAUACGUAAAGGUCAAGAUAUGACAGCUUUAAAAUCAAUACGACCAGGUUUCAGGUUCUUUUCUUUGGAAAAUCCGGUGGAGCGUUGGUCGAGCAAGAAAUAGCCACCGAUCCAUUCGACACGCGAUCAUUCGACCAACGAUAUCUCUCAAACGACGUAAUAGCACUUCCUCGUGUAUUCUUCACGCUCAUCUACUCGAACAGAGCUUCAUGAAAACGCGGCAUCACGCUUGACUUUACCGAUAAUGGCGAUGGCCAACCAGAAUAGAAAAGUCCAUCGUGCAUAGUCGGCAAUCCUGGCAAUAUUUAUAUUACGAUCGAAUGGAGAAAGCACGUCUUGGGUGAUAUGUUUCACCGAGCCGAAAUAAAGUAACGCGCGAGCUAUCACCUUACAAUUUCCCACGUACGCCCUACGUACGCGUUGCUUCACACGCAUAAACUCUUCCUCCAUUCCGCUGAUUAACUAGCGUCGUUAGAACGAUAAGUGCGGCUGAGCGCAACGUUGAGAAAGUUUUCAACACGAAAGCUUAUAUAAUUAAUCCUCCAGCCGCGGGAGAUUUUCAUAUUUAUGAAAAAUUUGCGGCGAUUACAAAACAUAUUAUGUACAAAAAUUAUUUGGAAUGAAAGAUGGCACCCCGUGUUUGAAAAAUCGAGAUUUAAAUCGAAUUAUAACAUAAGACAGGUAUGCAAUUCUUUUUCUAAAUUCGUUCUAAAAGAUAUUAAUAUUUAUAUUAAUAAAACGUAAUUAAAAUAUUACGAUAACACAAUAUAUAAUACACAAAGGAAGAAGAGGAAAGCGAAGUGGCACAAAUCUUAAAACAACUGCUUUUCAAAAAUUUGUUUUCGAACACUGGGUCCUUUUUCAGAUUCCAGGUCACAAUUGUACAUUCCCUUAUUUUCCGAUGAAACAUUUUUUUACGACUGAUACAUUUUACUUUCAGAGUAUUAAUUGUCUGUCAUACGAAGAAAGAGUUACUAAGUGACGCGAAAUUUAAUAUACUUGAACCUAAGUCAUUAUUAUGUAAAUGCUACAAUAAAUACAAUUUUGUACAAAUACUCUUUGUAGCCACCGUGUAGCUUGUUUAGACUUGUCACAAAAAGUGGUGCAAUAUAAAAAACGCGAUGUGAUAAUACCGUGGUUCGACGAAAUUAACAGAAAGAGUAAAACGCGACUUAGUAGAAGAUACGCAUUUGUUAGAAGAGAAUUACUCGCCUUUUAAAAAUAGAAAAAUUAUGUAAACCUAUCUGUGUCGUCACGAAACUAAUUGAGUUGCGUUACUCGAAGAGUCAUCUAGUCCUUCACUGUCUGUGCAUCAAUGUCUGUAUCUCUUCGUCCGUUUCUUCCGUGUCACGCGAUUCCACGAUCGCCUUUCAUUAUUUAAUCCCUGUCACUCACAGCGUAACACACGAUAGUAUACCCUCAACUAUGUUAAAUAACUCUUCCGCAUCGCAAACCCUUUUUAUCCUUUAUUAAAGCGUGCAAACUAAACGAGAUUUCUUAGAAACCUCGGAAAAUUAGUGUACAAACAACUUUCUGUAAAUUAGAAAUCUGUCUAUUAAAUCUCUUUCUUUAGAAGUUUUACGCUUAUUGUAAAAUCGAUUCGAUACUUUUAUUUCAUUUUCUCUAAUAGUUAUACAAUUCUUUGAAAUGAUUUCCAAUUCUUGAUUUUUGAUGUAUAUGAAAAUUAUCGUAACUUUCAUUUUCCGAAUUAAACUACUUAAAUGAAGCUCUAUUCAAUCGCAAUUUAAGUACUUUGUAAAACAUCACGAAGCCUUAUUUUGUAUACUAUAUGUGUUAUUAUUGUGCUUUUAUAAUAAAAUGAGAUGAAAAGAAUAGAAAAUCUGUAACAUCUCCUCGUUAUACAGGGUGGUUGGUAACUAGUGGUACAAGCGGAAAGGGGGUGAUUCUACGCGAAAAAAGAAGUCGAAAAUAUAGAACAAAAAUUUUUCGUUUCAGGCUUUGUUUUCGAGAAAAUCGACUUUGAAUUUUCGCUCGGUACGCGUGCAUUUUAUCACGUCUCGUUAUAACGGAUCUCACUGUAGAUCGUUGUCUCGAUGGAAAAAUUAAAAAAAAAAAUUAAAAAAACUUUUUUCGCGUAGAAUCACCCCCUUUCCACUUGUACCACCAGUUACCAACCACCCUGUAUAAAACUGGACGAUCUACCACUGCAAAUUGUCUGAUUGAGAAUACGUAUCGAUGGUAUUAACCACUUAUAUCUUGUUAGCAACAAACAUGUCCAUUCUAGAACAUAUCUAGUUACUGCUAUAAGAAAAGCACGUUAUCCUGUCUCUUUCUCAACACAGUACUACUACAACGAUUUGAUAAAACUGAUCCAAAAUAAGUACAACCAGAAGUUUUUCAAGAAGAAAUUUGGCAUAUAACUGAAAGUACCUCGUUGAAGACCAUGUUGCUCAAGGAUGAACGGUACAUACCAAUCAUUCAAGCAGCAAAAAAAUGCCGUAUCGAAUCGAAAUACCACUCUUUCAACGUUCAUUAGGAAAGUAACGAAGAUGCUGGCACGGUCCCCGGCCGUAUUACACCCCGUUACGCACGCACAGCCCUGUAGUGUCGAGUUUAAGGCGGUUUCGAGCACGCGACGAUCAGGAAACGCUGCCGCGCUGGCAGUCCGGGGAUAAUGCGAACGACACAAGGGCCUCUUAACAAGCUUCGACGAGGUGCAUGCAGGAACGCAAUGUUGCACCGGCCAACUAGGCUGACUUCUUAGGACCGCCCGCAUUGACAACGCCGGAGGAGACUGCGAGACGCGAAGAAAGGGACGGAGAAAGGGAGAGAAAGAGAGAGAAAGAGCGAGAGAGAGAGAGUACAACUCGCGGCGGGAUAAUAAGAAAUACGGUGUAGCCGCUAAUGCAUCGGUCGGCGCUCAGACUUUUUACCAACCUGCGGCGUAAAGACGCGCCAACGCUUUUUAUCCCUUUUACCUUACGAAAGAAAUUUUAUUCCGGAAGUGAAUUGUAAGAGGAAAUCAGUGGCUUGAUAAGUGGAUUUUAGUGGAUUUUUUUUUUAUCUUAUCUUGAGUACGUUGGAAUAAAUUUUCUGCCUUACAAGAGGAAUUUUAUGCCGGAAGUAAAUUAUGAGAGGAAAUCAGUAGUUUGAUCAGUGGAUUUUAGUAUUUCGGUCUCUUUUUAUUUUAUUUCGCGGAUGUUUCAGAAAAUUUUACUGGGCAUGGUGUUUUUAGAAAAUUGUAUAUGAUCGUUGGUAGGAAGACGAGUAUAGCAGAAGCCUAUUUAUUUGAACCCGUCGGGGCAGAAGUAAUUCAUGUAAUUAGAUUUGAUUUAUACGUUUGAUAGCAGAGGAACGGGCAUGUUUGCAAGAAUUGUCAAUAAAAUACUAUUUAUUAGGAAGCUAUGUGUUUAUUCUAUGUCAUAUCGUAAUUUAAUGAGACGGGUAUUGAAAUCGGCGUAUUUUAAGGAUGACUGCGCUAGUAGCGGAACUUGAAGCAAAUAUUUGAAAUAGACGCAUGAAGUAAUUGCCACAUGAAAUGUCUUUUACAUUUGGAUUUUACGAGUUGCACGCCUCUUGCUUUAAUCUGCUCCCAUUUUUGUGUCAAUUAGAGGCAGUUAAACGUUAAAAAUAGUAAUGAAUGGAGGAAAAAAUUAAUCUUUCUUUUCAUACGUGUAUUUUCUAACUACAUGUUUCAUAAGAGAUUUAAUUGGUACAAUUUACUAUAUUAGGAGAUUAUAACUAAGGAAAAAUACACCUACGGAAGGGCAACUAACUCUUUUCUUUAAUUACAUUAAUUGGAGUCCAUUAGCAUCAUUAACCAAAGAUUCGUACUCCUAAAUGGACUUCAAAUCGUCGAUACUAACAACGUCCAAAGUUUACAAGUAAUUAAUUUUUUAAGGAAAACACUGUAUAAGGUGAAGGUUUAGUUUAUACAAAAAAGAAUCGAGAGAUAUUUCCAUGGAUAUUUAAUGAAAUGUGUGAGUCAAUCUGUUCAGAGAAAUUUUUUUUCCAAAGAAUUACAGAAUUCAGAACAAUUCUGUACUUCGUCCAAAUGAAGAAAGGUUAUUAUAUACACAGAAUCAUUACAUAAUAUUUAGUCCUAAAAAUUAAAAAAUUCCAAAUUCUAAAUUCUGAAUGCUAAAAAAUUAUAAGAUGUAAGAAAACAGUCUAUAAUCCAUUUAUAAUUAUCAUGCAAGAACGUUCUGACAAUCGAAACACAGUAGCGAAGUGACAAGCAAAUGAAAGGAGAUGCUAUACGUACAAAUAGGUACAUGAAUACGUAAUUUCUAAGUUACACGUUAUAAAGACGUUAUAAAGAGAUGAAAGAAUCACAAGAAUCAUAAGAAUUCUAUAGAACUAGAAUCGUUGGAAACGCUUCCACGAGACUAUCUCCACGACCCACGUCUGGUUAAUGCGGCGAACUUCGAAAUCGUCCUCCAUGGGUCGACUCACAAUUAGAUUCGUGGCAUUUAGAUUCCAAUCUGAUAAAGUCCAACAUCGUCCUCCUCGUAACUUUCGCCGCUCAGCACCGAGAGUUGGAAUUCUCCGCGUUUUGUUCAUUCACAAAGAGGAAGAAGUCGGACAUGGAGGACAAACGAACCGAUGCAUGUCUCUGCAUAACAAUUUUCUCUCACGCCGCAAUGUAGCUAUUCGCGAUAAAUGCAGUAUUCUAAGAAAAAAGCUGUCGUCCCGUGAAUUUACAAUUUUCAUCUCUUUUUCUACACAUUAAUAUCAGAAAAUAAUUUUAAAUUCAACGUACGAAUAAUCUAUAAACGUUGCAGUGAAUCUGUAAUUUUUAUCGAACCAAGCGGAAGCGGGAAGCUGGUAAGAAUUAAUAUUUAAAUAAUUUCAGUAACAUAAAAUGCUUUAAGAAAGAUGCUGUAUCAUAGAUACGAUUAGCAUAUAGGAGAAAAAGCUUCAAACUCUCUAUAAUCAGAACGUCGUUUACUCGUAAUUCAUUACAAUUUCCUACUGUGAUUUGAAAAUGAGAAACCAACAUUUCCAAUAAAUAGACUACUUGCUGUCUGUAUAGUGAUUAAAUAAACCGUUAUAAUGUCGAAAUAUUUGGCCGGAGCAAUGAAAUCUAAUUUCAUUUUUUCCCACACAGGUAUAUCAUUUCUAUGUCACAUGACGUUACAAAGAGUAAAGUUCGUUGGUAAAAAAUUCUUUUGAUUUUGAAUUUACCCCGCAGAAAAUAUAAAUCAACGAUACAAAAAAGGAAGAAUAUCCCCACGCUCUUGAGAAGCAAGAAAAUGUGUAAGAGUCAAGGAAGAUUAAAUUCCUCGUAUGGUAUGAUACAAUGAGCACAGGAAUUAACACUGAAAUCCAUAACGUUAAGCGACAAACAACGAAGAAACGAGGUCGUUAAGUCUCGAGAGACGCGAAGCGAUCGCUAUGUCGGUGCGAACAGGGCACGAUAUCCAAUUUGCCUAAGUUAGUCUCGGCUCGUAACAUUCAAAGGAGCAAUUUAACCUGCGUAGCGGCGAGCAAUUUAAACUUGCCAACGCCAUUUAACCAGAAGUGUCGUUAAGAGUCAGGCACGCCAUCACGUAUUAUCAAAUUUAAUUAUAUCAAAUCCAUCCUGAUUAUCUCGAUUGUCACAAUUAUCUCAGUUUCAACAACAAUUUUCAAUAGAAGAAAGAAGUCUGUCUACCCCGUUUUUUUUUAUUCGUCUUUUGUUUCCUUUACUUCGUUGGACGUUCGUUGUAAGUCGAGGAAACAAACAUCACGAACAAAAUCACGGAGAGUCGCGAGUAAAAAGUGAAUGGGAGAUAGGUUCGUUGACCACUUGUUUGCGAUGUUGACACCCGACCUUGACGAUCCUAACAAUGAUGAAAAGAAUAGCCUGUCCCGCAUUGAUCGAUAACAAAAGUCCUUACACAGAUUUCCUAGAUCGGAAUUAUUCACACGGAAGUACGAAGUUUUCGUUACGAAUGAUUUAAUAUUUAUUUGUCUUCUCGAUUACUCAUCUAUCGCGAGCUUUCAGCAGAAGUAAAGUCUCUCAAUCUUCCUCUUAAUAUCAUAUCGUUCGCGUAUUGCAGCACUGACACGUAUAACUUAGAAAUUACGAUUUUAAGACAAACGAAUUUGGAUAUUUUGAAUCGUUAUAAUUUUGUAAGAACAAAUUAGAAUUACACUUAGCGUCGAUUUGAUAAUCAGAAUCCCUACUCGUAUUGUUUUAAUGCUCUUUUAUUCCCAAAAAUUCUCUGUAUUGUCUAUGAUUUUGGUUUCGUCUAAAACGAUUCUAUGACCUGCAAUUAUUCAGAAUUUUUCUUCUUAAAUUUACCUAAUUAUACUUUAA